rnacentral:rRNA from 1 species
AGUCUGCAACCCGACUACAUGAAGCUGGAAUCGCUAGUAAUCGCAGAUCAGAAUGCUGCGGUGAAUACGUUCCCGGGUCUUGUACACACCGCCCGUCACACCAUGGGAGCCGGUAAUACCCGAAGUCAGUAGUCCAACCUCGUGAGGACGCUGCCGAAGGUAGGAUUGGCGACUGGGGUGAAGUCGUAACAAGGUAAC